UCCUGUUACUGUCCUCCCUUCCACUGACUGUUAUGUUCAUAGUGUCUCCUGUUACUGUCCUCUCUUCCACUGACUGUUAUGUUCAUAGUGUAUCCUGUUACUGUCCUCUCUUCCACUGACUGUUAUGUUCAGCGCAUAGUGUCUCCUGUUACUGUCCUCCCUUCCACUGACUGUUAUGUUCAUAGUGUCUCCUGUUACGGUCCUCUCUUCCACUGACUGUUAUGUUCAGCGCAUAGUGUCUCCUGUUAUGUUCAGAUCAUAGUGUCUGUUACGAAUCCCUUUUGGCCCGACAGUCUAGGGGGGAUGGUAAUGAGACCCGUAACAUAACUCAUACAAAUACUAAUAGUGACAAAGUAAAAGUGAGAACGAAAUAACUACGACAACUGAAAUCUACCGUCAAACUCAGGGUGUAUUUAUAAACACACGGUAAUGGGGGGAGCAGGAAAAGGGGCUGAGCUGGACCCAAGGACAGAAACAAUAAGUAUUCAAUAACACCCCUAAGCUAGACUAGCCUACUUUAACAACAGCUAACUAACUAACCAAAAAUACAGUGGGUGGUCCGCCCAGUUCUAACUAGGGUAUUUAACAAAGUUUACCUAUGGGUAGUGUAUGCCCAUGGGCGACUUGUCUUGGUUCCCCCUUUUCCCACCAGCAAACAAACACCAUAACCAAAAACAAUACUCACAGGUGAGGACAAAGUGAUAUGGAGGUGCUCAAACAAAAGAUAGCUCAAUACAUAAAGAGAGAGUGAAACAAAGAGACCUACAGACAUGGCAUUUACAGAGAGAUUGAGCUCCACAGCAAACUGACAGGGUUUUUAAACAAAGGGAAAAGAACGGUGAUUGGGUAGGAAACAGGAGGAGGUGUGUUUUCUGAUUGAUGAUUGGUGACUGAUUGGGGAGUGAUGAUUUUCACCUGUGAGGGGAGAAGGAGAGAAAAGAAACACACACACAGGAUACACACACAGGAUACUUGUAUCAGUAACAGUGUCUCCUGUUAUGUUCAGCUCAUAGUGUCUCCUGUUACUGUCCUCUCUUCCACUGACUGUUAUGUUCACAUCAUAGUGUCUCCUGUAAUGUUCAGCUCAUUGUGUCUCCUGUUACUGUCCUCCCUUCCACUGACUGUUAUGUUAUGUUCAGCUCAUAGUGUCUCCUGUUACUGUCCUCUCUUCCACUGACUGUUAUGUUCAGCUCAUAGUGUCUCCUGAUAUGUUCAGCUCAUAGUGUCUCCUGUUACUGUCCUCUCUUCCACUGACUGUUAUGUUCAGCUCAUGGUGUCUCCUCU
rnacentral:lncRNA from 13 species